AGGUAAGCUACUAAGAGCGAAUGGUGGAUGCCUUGACUGGUAAAGGCGAUGAAGGACGUACUAGACUGCGAUAAGCUACGGGGAGCUGUCAAGAAGCUUUGAUCCGUAGAUUUCCGAAUGGGGCAACCCAAUGUAUAGAGAUAUACAUUACCUAUAUAGGAGCGAACGAGGGGAAUUGAAACAUCUUAGUACCCUCAGGAAAAGAAAUCAAUAGAGAUUGCGUCAGUAGCGGCGAGCGAAAGCGCAAGAGGGCAAACCCAGUGCUUGCACUGGGGGUUGUAGGACUGCAAUGUGCAAGAGGUGAGUUUAGCAGAACAUUCUGGAAAGUAUAGCCAUAGAGGGUGAUAGUCCCGUAUGCGAAAAACAAACCUUAGCUAGCAGUAUCCUGAGUAGGGCGGGACACGAGAAAUCCUGUCUGAAGCUGGGUCGACCACGAUCCAACCCUAAAUACUAAUACCAGAUCGAUAGUGCACAAGUACCGUGAGGGAAAGGUGAAAAGAACUGAGGUGAUCAGAGUGAAAUAGAACCUGAAACCAUUUGCUUACAAUCAUUCAGAGCCCUAUGUAGCAAUACAGGGUGAUGGACUGCCUUUUGCAUAAUGAGCCUGCGAGUUGUGGUGUCUGGCAAGGUUAAGCAAACGCGAAGCCGUAGCGAAAGCGAGUCUGAAUAGGGCGCUUAGUCAGAUGCUGCAGACCCGAAACGAAGUGAUCUAUCCAUGAGCAAGUUGAAGCUAGUGUAAGAACUAGUGGAGGACUGAACCCAUAGGCGUUGAAAAGCCCCGGGAUGACUUGUGGAUAGGGGUGAAAGGCCAAUCAAACUUCGUGAUAGCUGGUUCUCUCCGAAAUAUAUUUAGGUAUAGCGUUGUGUCGUAAUAUAAGGGGGUAGAGCACUGAAUGGGCUAGGGCAUACACCAAUGUACCAAACCCUAUCAAACUCCGAAUACCUUAUAUGUAAUCACAGCAGUCAGGCGGCGAGUGAUAAAAUCCGUCGUCAAGAGGGAAACAACCCAGACUACCAGCUAAGGUCCCUAAAUCUUACUUAAGUGGAAAACGAUGUGAAGUUACUUAAACAACCAGGAGGUUGGCUUAGAAGCAGCCAUCCUUUAAAGAAAGCGUAAUAGCUCACUGGUCUAGUGAUUUUGCGCGGAAAAUAUAACGGGGCUAAAGUAAGUACCGAAGCUGUAGACUUGCGCACAACUUAGAUUAUUUAAGUUUAGAAUAUGAGAAACUAAGUUAUAUGUUUAGUUAUAUUUUUACUGAUUUUUAUAGAGUAAAGAUAGAAAUAAAACUUAGUAAAAUCAGUAAAAAUAUUCUUAGACUAAAGUUAAGUA
rnacentral:rRNA from 1 species